CUAAGAAUCUUCCGCAAUGGGGGAAACCCUGACGGAGCGACGCCGCGUGGACGAAGAAGGCCGGAAGGUUGUAAAGUCCUUUUGCAGAUGAAGAAUAAGGUGAAGAGGGAAUGCUUCAUUGAUGACGUUAGUCUGUGAAUAAGCCCCGGCUAAUUACGUGCCAGCAGCCGCGGUAACACGUAAGGGGCGAGCGUUGUUCGGAAUUAUUGGGCGUAAAGGGCGUGUAGGCGGUGGAGUAAGCUUGGUGUGUAAGGCUACGGCUUAACCGUAGUUGUGCGCUGAGAACUGCUUUGCUAGAGUCCGGAAGGGGGAGGUAGAAUUCCUGGUGUAGGGGUGAAAUCUGUAGAUAUCAGGAAGAAUACCGGUGGCGAAGGCGACCUCCUGGUCUGAGACUGACGCUGAGGCGCGAAAGCGUGGGGAGCGAACA
rnacentral:rRNA from 1 species